CAAAAGGGCUUCUGUUGUGAGCGGCACACGUAGGGCAGCUUGACUACUGUACAUGCAGAAUUGACAUCAUCAAGAGAUUUCAAAAGUAUAAUUUUUUGGUAUUUGCGCAGCUGGUGAUUGUUAGUCCUGGCACCCAC